UAACUUAGUUUUAAUUCGGUGAUACAUGUGUUAGUUUUACAAUAUGGAUCAGCUUUCCAUUGUAAUACCAUUUAAGAAAUUAUUAGUUUUACAAAUUAUCUAAUUUAGGAAUGCAGUGUCUGCUCAUUUGGCGUUUAAAAGUGUUUCCAGCUUAUGCAACAUCGUAACCUCCUUGUUCUUGCAUUAUUGCAUACUUCGCAUUUCGAUUUCGAAAGUGGAAAAGAGAUCAGAAGGAUGUUUUCUUACCUUCCAUAACACAUAAAGUUCAAAUUGGAAUAUGCAAAACUAAUAUGGCUGUUGAAAUAUUUUCUCGCCCCGAAUUCCGAUGAGAGUAAAAGACUAGAAAAGUUUUGGCACCGUUCCAAGUUGAAACGUCAAGUCGAAUUUUGUAAAUGCUGUC